rnacentral:rRNA from 1 species
CACGUAGGGACCAAGCGUUGUCCGGAUUCAUUGGGCGUAAAGAGCUCGUAGGCGGUCUGUCGCGUCGGCUGUGAAAUCCCGAGGCUCAACCUCGGGUCUGCAGUCGAUACGGGCAAACUAGAGUAUUGCAGGGGAGACUGGAAUUCCUGGUGUAGCGGUGAAAUGCGCAGAUAUCAGGAGGAACACCGGUGGCGAAGGCGGGUCUCUGGGCAAUAACUGACGCUGAGGAGCGAAAGCGUGGGGAGCGAACAGG